GAUGGCGGAAGAGCAUGGAAGUUUCUUGUGUGUCUCGCGUCCGUGAAAGACGGCCAGACCGACGCUAAACCAUCCUACACACCUAGAAAACCGAUGUGAGGAUGAACACAACAAUCUGCACAACCUCAACCACAGAACUCAGCAGGAUAACCAUGUUCUUGUCACCCAAGGCCAAAUUCCCAGCUGAAGGUACAGAGGCUCCAGAGGAAACAGAUGUGAAGUGAAGUGCAAUACAACAUUUUCAAGCUCGGUAAAUUUGCUGGAGGGGCAAAUGUCUGAAUUCCUUCCACCAUUUCUCUAGGCUGAGUUUCCGGAUCCAUCACCAGCCUCCUGUAUCUCAUCUGGGUAUGAGCCACAUCACUGAGGAACUGUCCCAGUUCCCUGGACUGUCUCAACACUGUCCCAACACUCUCUGGAGAUGAAGGAUGUCUGCUUCUUCAAGGACCCACAUCAGGGAGACAGCCGCUCGCUGGCGGGUGGGACAGCUUCAACCCACUCUUAAUGACCACGUUCCUACUGUCAACCCAAAUGCUAACAUUUUUUUUAAAAUGUUUAUUUAUUUAU